rnacentral:lncRNA from 1 species
CCCCCCAGGAGCAAUGGGCCCAGGCCCCGCCUCCCGCACACACCCACCCUGAUGUAGUCGGCUCCGGGCCCGCUGUCAUCCUCGUUGAGCAGGAUGACUCAAGGGUAGCAUCAACUGGGAAGGGAGGUGCCGCUCAGUUCUCCAGGGCACAGCUCGUGGGCCUCACCCUGCCUCUUUGCCCGCAGACCCUGUGGUGAGCAGAGAUGGAGGGUCCAGGGUAUGCAAGGGGGAGCCUCAGGUCAGCGGUGGCAGAUGCUCGGCCUGCCCCCCACCUCCCCCAGGCCCGACGGGUGACGCCCUGGCCUCCGCCCUCACAGGGAAGGAUGUUCUUGUAGUGAUUCUUGGGCUUGUUCUCCACACUCUGCCCCUCCUUCCGAGGGUACAGGAACCGGCAUUCCUGCUGCUGCAGCAUCUGGAGGUGAUGGAGCCUUCAGCUCACAGCCCCGGCCCCUUCCCAGAGCCCGAGAUGGCCACCCCCAGCCCGUCCCGUGUGGGCGGAAGAGUACCUAGGUGCCGAGGCAAGAGACUGAAGGCACAAACUGUUUCAGUAUAAUAAAGAAAAUAGAAUAAGAAUAGUCAUAAUACAAAUUAGAUACAGCGAUGAUCAUGAACAAUUAUCCAUCAUUAUUAUAAACAUUAUUAAUCAUUAGCUUUUAAUAUUACUCUGUUGCAUUAAUAAUAUAACCUAGGAAUAACCGGCAGGUAUAGGGUCAGGUGCUGAAGGGACAUUGUGAGAAGUGAAUAGAAGGCAAGAGGGGAGCCUUCUGUCAUGCCCGCAUAAGGGCCGCUUGAGGGCCCCUUGGUCAAGCGGUAACGCCAGUGUCUGGGAAGGCACCCGUUACUGAGCAGACCGGGAAAGGGAGUCUCCUUUCCUUGGAGGAGUCAGGGAACGCUCUGCUCCACCAGCUUCUUGUGGGAGGCUGGAUGUUACCCAGGCCUGCCUGCAGUCAUCCGGAGGCCUGAACCCCUCCCUGUGGUGCUUCAAUGGUCACGUUCCUUGUCCACUUUCAUGCUCCUUCCGUACUCCUGGUUCCUCUUUGAAGUUCGUAGUAGAUAGCGGUAGAAGAAAUAGUGAAAGUCUUAAAGUCUUUGAUCUUAUAAGUUCAUAGAAGAAAACGCUGAUGCCUGCCGCCUUCUCUCUCUGCUUCAGCUACCUAAGAGGGAAGGGCCCGCUGUCCUGUGAUCACGUGACUUGCUUCACCUUGUCAAUCACUUAGAAGACUGACCCUCCUUAUCCUGCCCCCUUGUCUUGUAUGCAAUAAAUAUCAGCGAGCCCAGCCGUUCAGGGCCACUACCGGUCUCCGUGUCUUUGUGGUAGUGGUCCCCGGGGCCCAGCUGUUUUCUCUUUA